UGAGAGGGAAGCAUGCCCCAGGGGUACCGGGGAGGAUGUGCAGGGCCUGAGUCUGUUGGGAUUCAAGGAAGUCUUGCAGAAGGCGUAGCAGCUGAGCCGAGGCUUGAGGGAUGUAGAGGAGGUGGUCAGGCCGACAAGACUAUGUUUUAGGGUCAUCCCACAACUCUGUGUGCAUCUUGGGUGUGAGCUUCCAAGUAACUUUUCCUGAACCCCUCACCCCAUCCAGCCCAGGCCCUGCUGGAACAGCCUCCCGUUGGGAACUAGAACUGAUGACAUUAUAUACGACCACCAUCCAAGCUUCUUGAGACAACCAAUCCCACAGGAAGUCUUAGAAAGCUUUUUUUUCCCUCUAAAUGAUCUUUUUUAGUGUCUGUCACCCAGAGUUGUAGAGAUUUUAUAUCAUCUAUGAAAUCCUAUUAAGAUUUUAUUUCCUUAUUUUCCUUUUAUGAUGACUGGGAUUUCCUUCCUGAGAGAAGGCUUCAGGAAGUGGCCGUGCCUUGGCAGGAGCCAGGCCCUGGGGAGGGUGUGUUGCUGAUGCAGCCACAGCCUCCGUGGCAGAGUUGCUGACAGGCAUUCAGAGCUGGCAGCAUCCUUCAAGGUCCUGUGGCCCAUUUUCCCCCUGAAGGUAUCCUCUCUAGAGCUUUGAGCAUCCCAUGACCCAAGAGAGGCAGUGAUGGAGCUUUGGAGUCAGAUCCAUUGAUGGGCAACCCGCUACUUUGAAAAGUGGAGUGUUGAGAUCCGGUUGGAUCCAGAUGCCAUCAGUGACAGUCUCCUUUUAGAUACAUUCAAUCAGUCGUGGAUCCACCUUGGAGCACUAGCACCAACUCACAGAAGGACAUCUUGAAAGCACCUGUUACAUGGCUGCCUGCUUCAUUCCAGACACAAGAUGCAGAACCCAAAUUUAUCCAGGUUACCAGGUUGGAGUUAAACCUGAGACCACGUUAAUUAACCUCCAUCUGUUUUACUCGCUCUGGCCCUGCCUAGAUGGGCCUCUGAACAGUCCUCCCAGUCUUGUUGGGAAGUCCCUUGUGUGCUUAGGAGUGUCUCCUUCCCCAGAUAAUGGAGUUGGCCAAGUUCUUUCUCUCCAGCUCCUCCUUUCCUGCUGACAUUCGCAGUCCAUGCACCUCACUACUCUGCCUGCUGCUGGGAUGGCCCACAAGAAUGCAAUUCCCAUGUUCAGUGUGCAUUAGCCCAGACAUUGGUACCAGUCCUUGGUAUCCCAUUGAUUAAACCGCAUUUAAUCUGGUGCAGAAGUGAGAAGUGUAGCCUUCCUUUCUUGGGGUCACAUGCUG